rfam:Agrilus planipennis Contig41486, whole genome shotgun sequence.
UCUUAAACAAUAGAAAAUGAAAACGAAUAUACUACCACAUAAAAUGAAAAUGAAACACAUUGUCCUGAUACCUCAAUUGGUCCUAGAACGGCCUGAGGUAGAGGAGUUUCAGUCGGUAGGUCCGAGGACUUCUUCCUCGGGAAUCCGACACUACCCAGUCGUACAGGCGGCUGGGUGUCUUUUGAAGAUUUCCCCUCUUCCACGAAA